UUAUGACUUGCUACUAUGAGAUCACAUGCAAAUAAAAGUGACUCGAUUUGCCCAAUACUAGUUUCCUCAAAGCACUAGCCAAACCACUCAGGCCCAUGGACACCAGCACCUCCGCAAAGGGAAGCACAUCACUGUGAUUAUGCAGAAUUCACCAGCAUCAGCCACAGGAUUCUCUGCCUCUGAGGCUAAUGGCAAUUAGCUGAGGGCUUGCCAGCCAGUCCUCUCCAACAGCUCAACUCCAGCCGCAGACCCAGCAGCACACCUUCCAUCCCACGGCUUCCUCCCCAGGUCAGAACCCACAGAGGGGUCUUGCCUGUGCAAAUACAGAAUUCAGGGCAGUUUUAUUUCUCAUCAAAAAACCCAAAACCACAGACCACCCAAAUGUGUCUGAACUGGGAAACAAUUUAAAGUUGGACAAUGUAUGUUAGAUAGUACUAUUUGAAAAAUUAAACUGAGUGUGAUAACUGUAUUGCGCUUAUGUAGGAGACUGUCCCAGUUCUUAGGAGGUAAACUACCAUGAUGUCUACAGUCAGCCCUCAGAUGAUUCAGAAAAAGGUACAGACAUAAAACCAGUUAGCAAGAAGCUAACAAUUGAUGAAUCCAUAUAAAUGUAUACAAUAUUCAUUUUAGCAUUCUUGCUAUUUGUUGUAGGUUUCUUAUUUUCCAAAUAAAUGGAUAGAAGACAACUAUUAAAUUGAACACAUGUACCCUACAGCCUAACGCUUCAAUUCAUAGGUUUAUACGCAACCA
rnacentral:lncRNA from 1 species